UACGUAGGGGGCAAGCGUUGUCCGGAAUUAUUGGGCGUAAAGCGCGCGUAGGCGGCUCUGUAAGUCUGCUGUGAAAGCUUGGGGCUUAACCCCGAGAGGCGGGCGGAUACUGCUGGGCUCGAGUCCGGAAGAGGCGAGUGGAAUUCCUGGUGUAGCGGUGAAAUGCGCAGAGAUCAGGAAGAACACCAAUGGCGAAAGCAGCUCGCUGGGACGGUACUGACGCUGAGACGCGAAAGCGUGGGGAGCGAACAGG
rnacentral:rRNA from 1 species